CAUUACCUGAACACAGAGCCUUGCCUGUACUGUUGUCCUGUGUUUUGAAUGAAGACGGACACUGGGAAGGAUUUUCAAUUGGCCUGAGGCAGAGCGAGUCAGGAAGGCUGAGUCCCUCUUCAGCAGCAGUCUGAAGAUAAGCCAUGCCACAGUGGAGAUGUGGCAUUGUGCAUCAAUUUGGAGAGCACCAGAGGUCAGGAGGACAGGUUUGAAUAUUUCCCCCAGCAGUUCUGCCCUCUGUGAGUAUACCUGUGGGUUCACACCCUGUGUUGUGAUGGUUUUCACCAGGUGGAGGAAUUGGUUCCCACGUUCAUAGUUCAGAACAGUCUUUUCAAAUGAAAAACUUUCACAGAAAGAACAGCAUAAGCAUUGAAAGACAGAAUCAAAUGCACAAGUAUUGAGCACAGACACUUUUGAUGUGCGAAGUUUAACAGGCUGUUGAUGGUUCCCGUUUUUCAACAAUGGUACCUUGACUUUUUUCCAGCCCACUUGUGUAUCAAUAUGCAGCCAUUCAGGACAAGGAGAGAGAUAUGAAGUUGUCUUUCUUUUUUUCGGUGGGACCGCUAAACCUCUCCAGUUUUCAACUGCACUCUGCGGAACUUGCAGUGAUGCUGGUGCUUUUGAAGAGAGGGACCAUUAUUGCUGUCCAGAGUGGCAAGCAGUCCCAUCGGCAGAUCAUCU